rnacentral:rRNA from 1 species
AGAGUUUGAUCAUGGCUCAGGACGAACGCUGGCGGCGUGCCUAAUACAUGCAAGUAGAACGCUGACUACUUUAGCUUGCUAGAGUAGAAGGAGUUGCGAACGGGUGAGUAACGCGUAGGUAACCUGCCUACUAGCGGGGGAUAACUAUUGGAAACGAUAGCUAAUACCGCAUAACAGUGUUUAACACAUGUUAGAUGCUUGAAAGAUGCAAAUGCAUCACUAGUAGAUGGACCUGCGUUGUAUUAGCUAGUUGGUGGGGUAACGGCCUACCAAGGCGACGAUACAUAGCCGACCUGAGAGGGUGAUCGGCCACACUGGGACUGAGACACGGCCCAGACUCCUACGGGAGGCAGCAGUAGGGAAUCUUCGGCAAUGGGGGCAACCCUGACCGAGCAACGCCGCGUGAGUGAAGAAGGUUUUCGGAUCGUAAAGCUCUGUUGUAAGAGAAGAACGUGUGUGAGAGUGGAAAGUUCACACAGUGACGGUAACUUACCAGAAAGGGACGGCUAACUACGUGCCAGCAGCCGCGGUAAUACGUAGGUCCCGAGCGUUGUCCGGAUUUAUUAGGCGUAAAGCGAGCGCAGGCGGUUUAAUAAGUCUGAAGUUAAAGGCAGUGGCUUAACCAUUGUUCGCUUUGGAAACUGUUAAACUUGAGUGCAGAAGGGGAGAGUGGAAUUCCAUGUGUAGCGGUGAAAUGCGUAGAUAUAUGGAGGAACACCGGUGGCGAAAGCGGCUCUCUGGUCUGUAACUGACGCUGAGGCUCGAAAGCGUGGGGAACAAACAGGAUUAGAUACCCUGGU